CGCGGCCUAUCAGCUUGUUGGUGAGGUAACGGCUCACCAAGGCCUCGACGGGUAGCUGGUCUGAGAGGACGAUCAGCCACACUGGGACUGAGACACGGCCCAGACUCCUGCGGGAGGCAGCAGUGGGGAAUCUUGCGCAAUGGGCGAAAGCCUGACGCAGCCACGCCGCGUGGGGGACGAAGGCCCUCGGGUUGUAAACCCCUUUCAGCAGGGACGAAACUGACGGUACCUGCAGAAGAAGCUCCGGCCAACUACGUGCCAGCAGCCGCGGUAACACGUAGGGAGCGAGCGUUGUCCGGAUUUAUUGGGCGGAAAGGGCUCGUAGGCGGUUUGGUAAGUCGGGUGUGAAAGCUCAGGGCUCAACUCUGAGAAGCCAUCUGAUACUGCCAUGACUAGAGUUCGGUAGAGGAGCGUGGAAUUUCCGGUGUAGCGGUGAAAUGCUCAGAUAUCGGGAGGAGCACCAGCAGCGAAGGCGGCGCUCUGGGCCGAAACUGACGCUGAGGAGCGAAAGCGUGGGGAGCAAACAGGAUUAGAUACCCUGGUAGUCCACGCCGUAAACGGUGGGCACUAGGUGUGGGGCCUAAUCAACGGGUUCCGUGCCGUAGCUAACGCAUUAAGUGCCCCGCCUGGGGAGUACGG
rnacentral:rRNA from 1 species